rnacentral:rRNA from 1 species
UGGGCAACCUGCCCUCAGCUCUGGGAUAACUCCAAGAAAUUGGGGCUAAUACCGGAUAUGACCGCUGACCGCAUGGUCUGGUGGUGGAAAGAUUUUAUCGGCUGGGGAUGGGUCCGCGGCCUAUCAGCUUGUUGGUGGGGUAGUGGCCUACCAAGGCGACGACGGGUAGCCGGCCUGAGAGGGUGACCGGCCACACUGGGACUGAGACACGGCCCAGACCUCCGUACGGGGA